GCCGACUCGGGGUCGGGCUGCGGAGCCGAGGACGUCCGACUCGGGGUCGGAGCGCUGGAUCAAAGGGCAGCCGACUCGGGGUCGGGCUGCGGAGCCGAGGAUGUCCGACUCGGGGUCGGAUUGCUGGAUCAAAGGGCAGCCGUAGUCUUCCUGGGCGCGCGUGCCGGUCACGUGGGGCAUGGCGGCUUAUUUCCCCCGUAACAGA
rnacentral:lncRNA from 1 species